AGAAAAAUUAGUUCAAUGGUAGAGCGAUUGUUUUACACACAAUAAGUUGAAGGUUCAAAUCCUUCAUUUUUCA
rnacentral:tRNA from 1 species